rnacentral:sRNA from 1 species
CACCACCCCUAACACAAUCCAAUCCAUCAAGCGUCCUGCUAGCAUAGCACAGCAGAGCAAAGGACAGAGCACCCAACCUUCCAGCGCGAGCGCGAGAUCACCGACGGCGUCGGGGCCGAAGGCGUCGUUGCCGGCGCAGGGCAGCACGGACGGCUCGUCGAGGUACGCCACCCGCCUCGCGCGCGACGAAGACACCAGCAGGUCGACGGCGAGCUGCCCCACGUUGCCGAUCGAGAGCGCCGGCUGCAGCCCCCCAAAAAAAGGAUCACCAACCCGCGUCAUGAGCCAUGGAGGCAAAGCUAUUCAAACCGGAGAGAGGAGAGAGGUUUAGGGCGACCCGGACCAUGAGGAGGGUGGAGCAGUCGGGCGAGAAGGACUCCCCCUCAACGACGGCGUGCUCCAUCGCGGCGGCGGC